CAACUACCCGCCGCUUCAAAUCUCUUAUCUCCUUCAUUCUCUACUCCUCACCGAACAGCCCCCAAACCCAAGCUUAAUCCUAUCGAUUGAUUUUCCUGCUAUGAUCUAAAGCCUAACCCGAAACUUACUGCUUUGAGACCUAACCACCUGAUUGCUUAGCUUCUCAACUCCAAGGGCUACUACUCCGAACUUGAGAGCUCGCCACACUAAGGACCCAAACAACCCACAUCUAUUUCAUCCGAUUGCGGUGACGUUGACAGUUCGACAAUGGAACCCUAAAGUCUCUGAUCCAUCUACUUUAACGACAAACCUAUACCCGAAGAUUUGUCAAUGGCAGCGAGAAUGGCUCAGCAAUUGUUUGACUUUAGCUGGUAUGCAGCGACUAUUGGCUUGAGCUGGUGUCGGUCGUGUU